UUACCCCGCUGAAACUAAGCAUAUCAAUAAGCGGAGGAAAAGAAACCAACAGGGAUUGCCCUAGUAACGGCGAGUGAAGCGGCAACAGCUCAAAUUUGAAAUCUGGCCCUCGCGGUCCGAGUUGUAAUUUGUAGAGGAUGCUUUGGGCGCGGUACCUACCGAGUUCCCUGGAACGGGACGCCAUAGAGGGUGAGAGCCCCGUACGGCUGGAUACCUAGCCUCUGUAUAGCUCCUUCGACGAGUCGAGUAGUUUGGGAAUGCUGCUCUAAACGGGAGGUAAAUUUCUUCUAAAGCUAAAUACCGGCCAGAGACCGAUAGCGCACAAGUAGAGUGAUCGAAAGAUGAAAAGCACUUUGAAAAGAGGGUUAAAUAGCACGUGAAAUUGUUGAAAGGGAAGCGUUUGCGACCAGACCUGUACCUGGCGGAUCAUCCGGUGCUCGCACCGGUGCACUUCGCCUGGCAUAGGCCAGCAUCGGCUUCGCCAGGGGGAUAAAGGCUUAGGGAAAGUAGCUCCCUCGUUGGAGUGUUAUAGCCCUUCGCGUAAUGCCCUUGGCGGGACCGAGGACCGCGCUUCGUGCAAGGAUGCUGGCAUAAUGGUCGUCAACGACCCGUCUUGAAACACGGACCAAGGAGUCGAACAUUUGUGCGAGUGUUAGGGCGUCAAACCCUUACGCGUAAUGAAAGUGAACGGAGGUGAGAGCCUUAGGGCGCAUCAUCGACCGAUCCUGAUGUCUUCGGAUGGAUUUGAGUAAGAGCAUAACUGUUCGGACCCGAAAGAUGGUGAACUAUGCGUGGAUAGGGUGAAGCCAGAGGAAACUCUGGUGGAGGCUCGCAGCGGUUCUGACGUGCAAAUCGAUCGUCAAAUCUGCGCAUGGGGGCGAAAGACUAUCGAACCAUCUUAUCGGCG
rnacentral:rRNA from 1 species